rnacentral:rRNA from 1 species
AUGGGCCGCUGGAGAUACUACAAGCUAGGGGAGUGGGAGAGGCAGACGGUAUUCAGUGGGUAGGGGUAAAAUCCUCUGAUCCAUGAGGGGCCACCAGUGGCGAAGGCGGUCUGCCAGAACACGUUCGACGGUGAGGGAUGAAAGCUGGGGGAGCAAACCGGAUUAGAUACCCGGGUAGUCCCAGCUGUAAACGAUGCAAACUCGGUGAUGCAUUGGCUUAUGGCCAAUGCAGUGCCGCAGGGAAGCCGUUAAGUUUGCCGCCUGGGAAGUACGGACGCAAGUCUGAAACUUAAAGGAAUUGGCGGGGGAGCACCACAAGGGGUGAAGCCUGCGGUUCAAUUGGAGUCAACGCCGGG